rnacentral:rRNA from 1 species
UACGUAGGGGGCAAGCGUUGUCCGGAAUUAUUGGGCGUAAAGAGCGCGUAGGCGGUCCGAUAAGUCGGCUGUGAAAGUCAGGGGCUCAACCCUUGGAAGCCGGCCGAUACUGUCGGACUAGAGUCCGGAAGAGGCGAGUGGAAUUCCCGGUGUAGCGGUGAAAUUCGUAGAUAUCGAGAGGAACACCGGCGGCGAAGGCGGCCAUCUGGACGAGGACUGACGCUGAGAUGCGAAAGCGUGGGGAGCAAACAGG